CCUACGGGAGGCAGCAGUGAGGAAUAUUGGACAAUGGGCGCAAGCCUGAUCCAGCCAUGCCGCGUGCAGGAAGAAGCAUCUAUGGUGUGUAAACUGCUUUUGUACAGGAAGAAACACUCUCUCGUGAGGGAGCUUGACGGUACUGUAAGAAUAAGGACCGGCUAACUCCGUGCCAGCAGCCGCGGUAAUACGGAGGGUCCGAGCGUUAUCCGGAAUCAUUGGGUUUAAAGGGUCCGUAGGCGGUUUAAUAAGUCAGUGGUGAAAUCUGGUCGCUCAACGAUCAAACGGCCAUUGAUACUGUUAGACUUGAAUUAUAAGGAAGUAACUAGAAUAUGUAGUGUAGCGGUGAAAUGCUUAGAUAUUACAUGGAAUACCAAUUGCGAAAGGCAGGUUACUACUUAUGGAUUGACGCUGAUGGACGAAAGCGUGGGGAGCGAACAGGAUUAGAUACCCUGGUAGUCCACGCCGUAAACGAUGGAUACUAGCUGUUCGGAGCAAUCUGAGUGGCUAAGCGAAAGUGAUAAGUAUCCACCUGGGGAGUACGUUCGCAAGAAUGAAACCUGAAAGAUGAGNNGNGAGAGCGAGGAGACACGAGGGAGGAG
rnacentral:rRNA from 1 species